AGGACGCGGGGCAGCCUUGCGCGAAGGGGCGUUUUCGUGGAGCCACCUGCCGCGCCACGCUCCAGUCCCGUCACUUGUGCUCGCGAGCGCCGGUGCGCGCAGGUGCGGGCGGGGUUGUGGGGACGCCGGGAGGGCGGCGCGGUACUUUCCAGAAGGUUCCGCACCGGAAGCGCCUGCCGAGGCCGGAGGCUGGGUGCAGGGGCGGAGACGCGGAGAACUUGGGAUCCUGGUUUAAGGGAGCUGGGAAGCUGCCGCAGAAAUGAGGUCUCGCUGUGUUGCCCAGGCUGGUCUCAAAUUCCUGGCCUCAAGCAAUCUUCCUGCCUCGGCCUCCCAAAGUACUGGGAUGACAGGCAUGAGCCACCACGACCAGAUGCAUGGUAAAUUUUGUGUUUUAUGUAUCGUACCACACACACGAAAAUUUAAAAAACAUCUGGCUAUGCAUGUCUUUCAAAGCAACAGCAAUUGUUCUGAGAGAUUAAAGUCACCAUUGAAGAACCUGCAUUAUCGUUUAUUGUGAUCCUAAUUCGGU
rnacentral:lncRNA from 1 species